AGCAGCUGUGGCUGCCAUCAGGUCCCUGGAAGGGCGACUGUCUGGUUACUGCAGCGGUUCCUGAGUGCGCAGAAUUACCCCUGGACAGUGGCUGAGAGGGGCUGGAACUUGGGCCCAGGAUUCUUGCAGGUUUCACAGCCAAGUAUGAGGUCUGCAGACCUGGCUCUGAAGGUACAGGAAUGGAUGGAGAACAUGAAAAGAAAGCAGGAAGAAAAUGUGGAAAAAAGGAAUAUGCUUGUAAGUGAAUGAAUGCCUCAGUACUACUUUGCACAAUAGUGUUUUGAAUUGCAGAACUCAAUAUGCAAGACUGUAGAACUUUGACAUCCAGAAAAGUUGCUUUUUUUGAACUCCUGAUCACUUUAAAUUGAAAGUCACUUCAGUCUCCUUCCUGUGGCUUCUCUGGAUCUUUGGCUUCAUUGAAGUGUAACCUGGGGAGUGUCUGUGGAAAUUUAUCAUUGCAUUAAACACGAAAAUACAUUUGA